GGGGGACUCAGGGUAGUGGCAGACGGGUGAGUACACGUGGGAACCUACCUAGUGGUACGGAAUAACUCAGGGAAACUUGUGUUAAUACCGUAUACGCCCUUUUGGGGAAAGAUUUAUCGCCAUUAGAUGGGCCCGCGUCUGAUUAGCUUGUUGGUGAGGUAACGGCUCACCAAGGCGACGAUCAGUAGCUGGUCUGAGAGGACGAUCAGCCACACUGGGACUGAGACACGGCCCAGACUCCUACGGGAGGCAGCAGUGGGGAAUAUUGGACAAUGGGCGCAAGCCUGAUCCAGCCAUGCCGCGUGAGUGACGAAGGCCCUAGGGUUGUAAAGCUCUUUUGGCAGGGACGAUAAUGACGGUACCUGCAGAAUAAGCCCCGGCUAACUUCGUGCCAGCAGCCGCGGUAAUACGAAGGGGGCUAGCGUUGUUCGGAAUUACUGGGCGUAAAGCGCGCGUAGGCGGACUGGUCAGUUGGGGGUGAAAUCCCGGGGCUCAACCCCGGAACUGCCUCCAAUACUGCCAGUCUCGAGUCCGGAAGAGGUGAGUGGAAUUCCUAGUGUAGAGGUGAAAUUCGUAGAUAUUAGGAAGAACACCAGUGGCGAAGGCGGCUCACUGGUCCGGUACUGACGCUGAGGUGCGAAAGCGUGGG
rnacentral:rRNA from 1 species